CGUCUGUUCCGAGAAAAAUUAACGCGUUACCGAGAAUGUUCUGCAAGGCAAAGCUGGAAGGACCACUCGGUGUGAGGGCUCGCUCCUGACGCAAGCUCGAAAUCGGUUCCGGCUGCUACUUGCCAUACUCCAGGCACGUGAGAUGUCCCCCAACUCGAUCUACGUCCCAGCAGCCUUAAUCCGGACUCGGCCAAGCGUUUGCGACAUUCAUUUCCGGCAGGCCAUUUUGAAAA